UACGUAGGGGGCUAGCGUUAUCCGGAAUUACUGGGCGUAAAGGGUGCGUAGGUGGUUUCUUAAGUCAGAGGUGAAAGGCUACGGCUCAACCGUAGUAAGCCUUUGAAACUGGGAAACUUGAGUGCAGGAGAGGAGAGUGGAAUUCCUAGUGUAGCGGUGAAAUGCGUAGAUAUUAGGAGGAACACCAGUGGCGAAGGCGAUUCUCUGGACUGUAACUGACGCUGAGGCUCGAAAGCGUGGGGAGCAAACAGGAUUAGAUACCCUGGUAGUCCCUGAG
rnacentral:rRNA from 1 species